AGAACGAACGCUGGCGGCAUGCCUAAUACAUGCAAGUCGAACGAAGGCUUCGGCCUUAGUGGCGCACGGGUGCGUAACGCGUGGGAAUCUGCCCCUUGGUUCGGAAUAACAGUUGGAAACGACUGCUAAUACCGGAUGAUGACGAAAGUCCAAAGAUUUAUCGCCAAGGGAUGAGCCCGCGUAGGAUUAGCUAGUUGGUGAGGUAAAGGCUCACCAAGGCGACGAUCCUUAGCUGGUCUGAGAGGAUGAUCAGCCACACUGGGACUGAGACACGGCCCAGACU
rnacentral:rRNA from 1 species